rnacentral:tRNA from 1 species
GCUUCGUUGGUCUAAGGGUAUGAUCCCAGCCUUCCAAGCUGGGGGUACGGGUUCGAGUCCCGUGUGAAGUA